CCUACGGGUGGCUGCAGUGGGGAAUAUUGGACAAUGGGUGAAAGCCUGAUCCAGCCAUGCCGCGUGUGUGAAGAAGGCCUUCGGGUUGUAAAGCACUUUCAUUGGGGAAGAAAGCCUUGGGGCUAAUACCCUCGAGGAAGGACAUCACCCACAGAAGAAGCACCGGCUAACUCCGUGCCAGCAGCCGCGGUAAUACGGAGGGUGCGAGCGUUAAUCGGAAUUACUGGGCGUAAAGCGCGCGUAGGCGGUCUGAUAAGCCGGUUGUGAAAGCCCCGGGCUCAACCUGGGAACGGCAUCCGGAACUGUCAGGCUAGAGUGCAGGAGAGGAAGGUAGAAUUCCCGGUGUAGCGGUGAAAUGCGUAGAGAUAGGGAGGAAUACCAGUGGAGAAGGCGGCCUUCUGGACUGAAACUGACGCUGAGGUGCGAAAGCGUGGGUAGCAAACAGGAUUAGAUACCCUAGUAGUC
rnacentral:rRNA from 1 species